UACGGAGGAUGCAAGCGUUAUCCGGAAUGAUUGGGCGUAAAGCGUCCGCAGGUGGCUAUGUAAGUCUGCUGUUAAAGAGUGAGGCUCAACCUCAUAAGAGCAGUGGAAACUACAUGGUUAGAGUGCGUUCGGGGCAGAGGGAAUUCCUGGUGUAGCGGUGAAAUGCGUAGAGAUCAGGAAGAACACCGGUGGCGAAAGCGCUCUGCUAGGCCGCAACUGACACUCAUGGACGAAAGCUAGGGGAGCGAAUGGG
rnacentral:rRNA from 1 species